CAGGUAGUAGGUGGUGUAACGGACCACCUAGCCUAAGACGGGUACGGGCCUUGAGAGAGGGAGCCCGGAGAUGGGUUCUGAGACACGAACCCAGGCCCUACGGGGCGCAGCAGGCGCGAAACCUUCGCACUGCGCGAAAGCGCGACGAGGGGAGCCCGAGUGCCUCUCCAUUUCGGGGAGGCUUUUCACAAGCCUAAAAAGCUUGUGGAAUAAGGGCUGGGCAAGACGGGUGCCAGCCGCCGCGGUAAUACCCGCAGCUCGAGUGGUGGUCGCUUUUAUUGAGCCUAAAACGUUCGUAGUCGGCCUUGUAAAUCCCUGGGUAAAUCGGACCGCUUAACGGUUCGAAUUCCGGGGAGACUGCAAGGCUAGGGACCGGGCGAGGUCAGAGGUACUUUCGGGGUAGGAGUGAAAUCCUGUAAUCCCGAAGGGACCACCUGUGGCGAAAGCGUCUGACUUGAACGGCUCCGACGAUGAGGAACGAAGGCUAGGGGAGCAAACCGGGUUAGAUACCCGGGUAGUCCUAGCUGUAAACUCUGUACGCUUGGUGUGGCCUGUCCUUCGGGGGCAGGCUGUGCCGGAGCGAAGGUGUUAAGCGGGCUGCUUGGGGAGUACGGCCGCAAGGUUGAAACUUAAAGGAAUUGGCGGGGGAGCACCGCAACGGGAGGAUGCGUGCGGUUUA
rnacentral:rRNA from 1 species